rnacentral:rRNA from 1 species
CCUACGGGAGGCAGCAGUGAGGAAUAUUGGUCAAUGGGCGCGAGCCUGAACCAGCCAAGCAGCGUGAAGGAUGACUGCCCCACGGGUUGUAAACUUCUUUUAUAAAGGAAUAAAGUGAGGCACGUGGGCCUUUUCGUAUGUAUUUUAUGAAUAAGGAUCGGCUAACUCCGUCCCAGCAGCCGCGGUAAUACGGAGGAUGCGAGCGUUAUCCGGAUUUAUUGGGUUUAAAGGGAGCGUAGAUGGGUUGUUAAGUCAGUUGUGAAAGUUUGCGGCUCAACCGUAAGAUUGCAAUUGAUACUGGCAGCCUUGAGAACAGUUGAGGUAGGCGGAAUGCGUGGUGUAGCGGUGAAAUGCUUAGAUAUCACGAAGAACUCCGAUUGCGAAGGCAGCAUACUAA